rnacentral:lncRNA from 1 species
GGAUGUGGUUGCUGGAAUCAGAACCCCGGAGGAUCUUGAUGCCAUGAAGGCACAGAUGCCGGAUGCUUAUGUAGAGCUCGUUGAGAACUGCAAGAUACUGGAGAGCCACUACAAAGAAAUGAUGGUACCUUAUUAUUGCAUUUUCAACCUUUACUGCACCAUUUAUUUUUGAGCUAUAUUUAAACAUGAUCUCUUUAAUAAUUUGCAACAUAAGCGCACUUGAAUACUGGUGUUGCUUCAAUGUGUUCUGUAGAUUGGCAUUGUGUCUCUGUUACUGCCAUUGGCCAUGAUCUCAGACUUGCUUGCUUUUUAUGCAUGAUGCAGGACAUUGAAUUUACCGUUCAGGAAAAUAGGCUCUGGAUGUUACAGUGCAGAUCAGGAAAACGUACAGGCCAAGGGGCGGUAAAGAUUGCUGUGGACAUGGUUAAUGAGGGUCUUGUUGAGCGCCGUCAAGCGAUUAAGAUGGUAGAGCCAGGCCACCUGGACCAGCUUCUCCAUCCUCAGGUAAUGGAUAACCAUGAGGCCCGUAAACUGAUUGUGCCUUACUUGAAAUUCAGUACUCUUAUAAGUUUGGCCUUACUUGGAAUUCACUUUAUAAGUUAAGUACUGGAUAUGUAUUAACAUCACUGUUUUAAUCUUGUCCAAUGAAAACCAGUUUGAGAACCCAUCAGCAUACAAGGAUCAAGUAAUCGCUACAGGCUUACCAGCUUCACCUGGGGCUGCUGUGGGCCAAAUUGUAUUUACUGCAGAGGACGCUGAAGCAUGGCAUGCCCAAGGGAAAGCUGCUAUCCUGGUAAACACCAUUUUAUCCUCAUUUUUAAGAAAAAAAGGUCUUCUGCAGUUUUUGUGUCAUUUUGAUCUGGACUUUGUGCUUCGAUGAAAAGAUCUGUUAAUUGAGCAAAACUGGUCUAUUUACUGGACCUGUUAGAAUAGUUGCUUGCAGAGUUACAGUCACAAAAAUCCCACUUAUCACAGACAGCCAUUUUUGAAAUGCAUAUGGAAGCUCCAAGUCGUAUCGCUUCAUCUUUUGCAUUCUGAGAAUUUUUUCUUUGCAAAUAUAUAGGUGAGGACAGAGACCAGCCCAGAGGAUGUUGGUGGCAUGCACGCAGCUGUUGGAAUUCUUACAGCAAGAGGUGGGAUGACCUCUCAUGCUGCUGUGGUAGCACGUGGUUGGGGAAAAUGUUGUGUCUCAGGAUGCUCAAGCGUUCUCGUAAAUGAUGCUGAGAAGGUGAAUAGAAUUCUUGUUUGCACAUCUUCUUCUUUGUAGAAGGUGACAUGCCAUGUUAAAGUUUGUAACAGGAUUAUGACAUUCUUUGUAGAUGUGCUCCGUCCGCCAUUUUUAAGUUCUUAUUAACGAGAUUUUGAGGAUGUAGAUGUUUCCUUACUUUGCUAUGUCUACAUUUACAGUCUGUAGUGAUUGGAGACAAGGUGAUGCAUGAAGGUGAGUGGCUAUCACUGAAUGGAUCUACUGGUGAAGUCAUCGUGGGGAAGCAGCCACUUUCCCCACCAGUCCUCAGUGGUGAUCUGGGAACCUUCAUGUCCUGGGUAGAUGAAGUUAGGCAACUGAAGGUAAAUUCCUAGAAAUAACAAAUAUGUAAUAUUAGUUAAAACAUGGAUACAAACUGUUGGAAGUAGAAACCAACAAAAAGGGCAUCAGAUUAUUUAUUCAGACAGGCCAAAGCUAGUCAACCCCACUACACAUUUUUCAACAGAAAUGCUUAUUCGUACAUAUGAUCCACCUUCCAGGUUUUGGCUAAUGCGGAUACCCCUGAGGAUGCACUGACAGCAAGAAACAAUGGGGCAGAAGGAAUUGGACUAUGCCGGACGGAGCACAUGGUAUGUAUUUUAGUUACUGUCCAAUAUCUUUUGGGUGGGAUCUUGGAAAACUUACUCUUUCUUGAAUUCCUUCGUCGAACAGUUGGGUAAACUUUAAGGACCUCCCGUUCUAGUCUCAUGUUCUCCUUUUCUGCACUUUGGCAGUUCUUUGCUUCGGAUGAGAGGAUUAAGGCUGUGAGGCAGAUGAUUAUGGCUCCCACACUUGAACUGAGGCAGAAGGCACUAGAUCGUCUUUUGCCUUAUCAGAGGUCUGACUUUGAAGGCAUUUUCCGUGCUAUGGAUGGUAUGUGAAAAUCACGAUGCAUUCAUUUACAUGCUCUCCAAUUGAACUGGAUGCACUAGUGUUACUGAACAUAACAAGAGUAAGCAACCUUCUUAAAUAGACAACAUUGACUACUAAUGUAAAGUGAAAAGGUAGACAAGUUUUAAACCUUAGGAUGCAAAAUACUUCAAAAAUAAGAACGAAAUUGGGCCAGUAACAUAUUGCAUCAAUUAUUUAACUUGGUAACAUAAAGUUCUGCUAUGAUUUAUCCAUUAGUUUUUUUUAAUCUUUUAUAGCGAGUGGUAUAUGUACAUGUUUCAUGGAAACAGAUAUAGAAUUAAACUACUAGAAUAAAUUUUAACAUGUAUUGUAGUUAGUUCCACAGUAUGUAUUUUAAAGUGCGGAAUGGAUUUGAACAUUAUUUUUUUUGCAUUUCAGGGCUUUCAGUGACUAUUCGGCUUCUGGACCCCCCACUUCAUGAGUUUCUUCCUGACGGGAAUGUUGAAGACAUUGUGCGUGAAUUAUGUUCUGAAACUGGAGCCAAUCAGGAGGAAGCCCUUGCAAGAAUUGAAAGUCUUUCAGAAGUAAAUCCAAUGCUUGGUUUCCGUGGGUGCAGGUUGGUUUUUGUGCUCCGUUUAAAUCAGUCACCCCCCCUCCUUGAUCCAUUUGGUUCCCUUGUUAGUGAAAUAUUAAAAAGAAUAAACUCUGUAUAUUUACCUCGACUAAUAUUGGAACUGCUAAAAUUCCAGGCUCGGUAUAUCAUAUCCUGAGCUAACAGAAAUGCAAGCCCGUGCCAUCUUUGAAGCUGCUAUAGCGAUGACCAACCAGGGUGUUCAAGUUUUCCCAGAGAUAAUGGUUCCUCUUGUUGGGACACCUCAGGCAUGCAUCUUUAUUUCCUUAUUUGUGCAUAUGGUAUCUCUGCAGUUCAUGGUGUUCAAAAUGACAAAAUCAAAAUUGAAUAAACAACCAAGUUCUGUACACAUGUAAUUUACGAUUUUAUGCAAACAUCAAGUUGACCUACACCCAAUUUCCCACCAAAUUCAUUUCUUGAAAUUUUCUCUCUCGAAUUCUAAGUUUAUUGCUUUCACUUGAUUUUUCCUUCAGACAUCUGACAUUUGACUUUUGCAGGAACUGGGGAAUCAAGUGGCCCUUAUCCGUGAAACUGCUAACAAAGUUUUCGCUGCUCUGGGUAAAACCAUUGACUACAAAAUUGGAACUAUGAUUGAAAUUCCGAGGGCAGCUCUAGUAGCUGAUGAGGUAGGAAGCAUCUAACUCCCUUCAGAAUAAUCUUAAAUAUUGCUGUUUAGGUUUAGCUUUUAGAUCAUAUUUUUCAUGAAUGGUUUAGUAAUAGAACCCCGGAUUUUUACUCUAAAACAUGUGAAUAGUAACUGAUGGUAUGAAUUUAUUAAGUGCAAAUAAUAAGUUUAUCCUCUAAUUUAAAAAAAAAACUGACAUUCUUGUUUUGGUUUCACAACCUGACAGAUAGCAGAGCAGGCUGAAUUCUUCUCUUUUGGAACGAACGACCUCACACAGAUGACAUUUGGCUACAGCAGGGAUGAUGUGGGGAAGUUUCUUCCCAUUUAUCUGUCUCAGGGUAUCCUCCAACAUGAUCCCUUUGAGGUAAAAUUUUAGCAGCUCUCACCCUUCAGUUUUAGAUGAUAUACCUGCAUUUUCAUCAUCCACUCUUGUUUUUCAAGGAAUAUUUCCAUCAUCCACAGAUGCGAGCAUCUCAUGUCCUCUAGGCAUUUUUCAUGUCCUUGACUUUUGGUUACGUGCAUGCUCUGGUAAAAUUCAACCUAGUAACUUGCCCAUUGAAUGUUGAUAAACAUAUCAGGUGCUGGAUCAGAGGGGAGUGGGCGAGCUGGUUAAGUUUGCUACAGAGAGGGGUCGCAAAGCUAGGCCUAACUUGAAGGUUAGUUUUUGGGACUUGUGGACAUUGGCUCUUUUCCUUAGAAAUCAUGGUUUCAUUGUUUGGUGCUGUCUGCAAACAGGUGGGCAUCUGUGGAGAACACGGUGGGGAGCCUUCGUCAGUUGCAUUCUUUGCAAAGUCGGGGCUGGAUUAUGUUUCUUGCUCGCCUUUCAGGUUGGUCAAGUGAUAAACUCAAGAUACAACUCCCAGAUUCAUAACUGUAGCAAAACCUUAACUACUUUUUAUGAAAUAUCUUGUGCAGGGUUCCCAUCGCCAGGCUAGCUGCAGCUCAGGUGCUCGUCUGAGGGCACCGCCUCAUCGGCAACCGGAUCACCUGCUGUUGGUGCGUCUGGUGAAGAAUACUAAUACAAAGCCAUGGAACGGUGGAACUCUGCUGCCUGGCAAAGGCCGUUGUAUCUUGUAUGAAGUCUCCGUGCGCGUGCGCAUGUAAGACUUAAUGUGUGGUUUUCUGCAUUUUCCCUUGAACUACCAUGGUAAUGUAGUACCAAACAGAGAUGAUGACGAAGAACAAUCGAAUAAAUUAAUUGGCGAUUAC